CGUAGGGGGCAAGCGUUAUCCGGAAUUACUGGGUGUAAAGGGUGCGUAGGCGGUAAUGUAAGUCAGGUGUGAAAGCCCGAAGCUCAACUUCGGGAUUGCACUUGAAACUACAUAACUAGAGUACAGGAGAGGUGAGUGGAAUUCCUAGUGUAGCGGUGAAAUGCGUAGAUAUUAGGAGGAACACCAGUGGCGAAGGCGACUCGCUGGACUGUAACUGACGCUGAGGCACGAAAGCGUGGGGAGCGAACAGGAUUAGAUACCCUGGUAGUCCACGCUGUAAACGAUGAAUGCUAGGUGUCGGCUCGUCAAGGGUCGGUGCCGAAGUUAACACAUUAAGCAUUCCACCUGGGGAGUACGAUCGCAAGAUUG
rnacentral:rRNA from 1 species